GCAAACCCCCAUUUCGUCAUCCCCGCGGAGGCGGGGACCCAUAUUGGCGAACGUCCGAGUCUAUGGAUCCCCGCCUCCGCGGGGAUGACGAUGGGGUCGCGU
rnacentral:miRNA from 1 species